CACGUAGGGCGCAAGCGUUGUCCGGAAUUAUUGGGCGUAAAGAGCUCGUAGGUGGUUUGUUACGUCUGCUGUGAAAACCUAGGGCUUAACCCUGGGCUUGCAGUGGAUACGGGCAGACUAGAGGUAGGUAGGGGAGAAUGGAAUUCCUGGUGUAGCGGUGAAAUGCGCAGAUAUCAGGAGGAACACCGGUGGCGAAGGCGGUCUGCUGGGCAGUAGCUGACGCUGAGGCGCGACAGCGUGGGGAGCAAACAGG
rnacentral:rRNA from 1 species